rnacentral:rRNA from 1 species
AAUAUUGGACAAUGGGGGCAACCCUGAUCCAGCCACGCCGCGUGGGUGAAGAAGGUCUUCCGAGUGUAAAGCACUCUAAGUUGGGAGGAAGGGCUUUAGGCUAAUACUUUGAUGCUUAGACGUUACCAACAGUAUAAGCACCGGCUAACUCUGUCCCACCAGCCGCGGUAAUACAGAGGGGGCAAGCGUUAAUCGGUAUUACUGGGCGUAAUGCGCGCGUAGGUGGUUCAGUAAGAUGGGUGUAAAAUCCCCCGGCUUAACCUGAGAACUGCUUUCAUAACUGCUGAGCUGGAGUACGGUGGAGGGUAGUGGAAUUUCCUGUGUAGCGGUAAAAUGAGUAAUUAUAAGGAGGAACGCCAGUGGCGAAGGCGACUACCUGGACUGAUACUGACACUGAGGUGCGAAGGCGUGGGGAGCAAA